rnacentral:rRNA from 1 species
AAUAGAUACCCUGGUAGUCCACGCCGUAAACGAUGAGUGCUAAGUGUUAGAGGGUUUCCGCCCUUUAGUGCUGCAGCUAACGCAUUAAGCACUCCGCCUGGGGAGUACGGCCGCAAGGCUGAAACUCAAAGGAAUUGACGGGGGCCCGCACAAGCGGUGGAGCAUGUGGUUUAAUUCGAAGCAACGCGAAGAAUCUUACCAGGUCUUGACAUCCUCUGCCAACCCUAGAGAUAGGGUGUUCCCCUUCGGGGGACAGAGUGACAGGUGGUGCAUGGUUGUCGUCAGCUCGUGUCGUGAGAUGUUGGGUUAAGUCCCGCAACGAGCGCAACCCUUGAUCUUAGUUGCCAGCAUUUAGUUGGGCACUCUAAGGUGACUGCCGGUGACAAACCGGAGGAAGGUGGGGAUGACGUCAAAUCAUCAUGCCCCUUAUGACCUGGGCUACACACGUGCUACAAUGGAUGGUACAAAGAGCUGCGAACCCGCGAGGGUAAGCCAAUCUCAUAAAGCCAUUCUCAGUUCGGAUUGUAGG